CUCGCUCGGCUUUGCAAAAGGGAAGGGAGUGGGGACGAACAUGGCUGAAGACAGCCGGGGUGGCCCAACGUGCAGCUGGAUGGAGGGCAGUCAGGACCCGCUCCCCGGCAGUGGUGGCUACAACUUUCCAGAGUACGAGAUUCCCGAGGUUAACACGCGCGUUUUCCAUGUUGGCACCCUUGGGGAGCUGUGGCGUGGCCGGCUGCGCGGGGCCGAGGACUUGUCACUGAAGGAGCCGCGGGCACCGGAGCUGCCCGGGUGCCCAGGGGACGCUGCCUCCGAUCCGGGGGAUGCCGCGGUGGCCCGGGAUCUGGACUGCAGCCUGGAGAAGGCGGCCGAGCUGAGGGCGGUGUGCAGCCUUGAUAAACUGAAGUGCCUAGAGGAAGGUGAGGAUCCGGAAGUCAUCCCAGAGGACACGGACCUGGUGACGUUAGGGAUUAGAAAGAGGUUCUUGGAACAUCGGGAAGAAACCAUAACCAUAGAUCGCGCCUGCCGACAAGAAACGUUUGCUUAUGAGAUGGAGUCACAUGCAAUUGGAAAAAAGCCUGAAAAUCCAGCAAAUAUGAUUGAAGAAGGAGAACUUAUCCUAUCUGUGAAUAUCUUGUACCCUGUUAUAUUUCAUAAGCACAAAGAACACAAACCAUACCAGACGAUGCUGGUGUUGGGCACUCAAAAGCUCACGGAACUGAGGGAUUCAAUUUGCUGUGUCAGUGACCUCCAGAUUGGUGGAGAAUUCAGCAACUCUCCUGACCAAGCCCCUGAACACAUCAGCAAAGACCUGUACAAAUCAGCCUUCUUUUACUUUGAAGGCACAUUUUACAAUGAUAAAAGAUACCCAGAAUGCAGAGAUUUGAGCAGCACAAUCAUUGAGUGGUCAGAGUCCCAUGAUAGAGGCUAUGGGAAGUUUCAGACUGCCAGAAUGGAAGAUUUCACCUUCAAUGACUUGCAUAUUAAACUGGGCUUUCCUUACUUGUACUGUCACCAGGGAGAUUGUGAACAUGUUGUGGUCAUUACCGACAUAAGGCUUGUGCAUCACGACGACUGCUUGGAUAGGACACUUUAUCCCCUUCUCAUCAAGAAGCACUGGCUUUGGACCCGAAAAUGUUUUGUUUGUAAAAUGUACACAGCUAGAUGGGUGACGAACAAUGACAGUUUUGCACCACAAGACCCAUGUUUCUUUUGUGAUGUUUGCUUCCGAAUGCUCCACUAUGACUCUGAAGGCAACAAACUGGGGGAAUUCCUUGCUUAUCCUUAUGUUGAUCCUGGAACCUUUAAUUAAAUAACAGCUUCUCCUGUAAAGUACACCACUGUCAAGUCCCCAUCCUCUUGGAUGGUUUAUUUCCAAAAUACACCACCGAGGAACAGAUGCACCUGGAACAGAAGUAAUCCAAGUGUUCUGGAAUGUUAUUUCAUUCACUCCAAAGUACGUUUAACUCACUUGAAGGGGUUGUGUAUCUUACUGAAGUGCUUACCAUAUCCUAAAUAUAAAUCUAGGUACAUACACAUGUUCUCAUUCUUUUCUCCCAAUCCAUGGCUUGCCUAUUCAUGCUCUGUCUCAAGUGUUUUUUGCUAAGGCUAGAAUUCCUAGAUACAUCAAGUAGUAGAAGUAUUUUGGAAAUUCUCUGAAGAAUUUGAGAGCUACACCUUCUACCUUGAGGCUCCCGAGGUUAUAUUUAAACUCAGCAUAUGUGCACAUUACUCUUGAUGGCUAAGAGCAGGAAUUUACCAUAAAAAUCAAAACCUAAUGAAACCUGUAACUCUGCGUGCUUAAGGCUUGACAGUGCAAUAUGUUUUAAGGACUUAAAUGUGGCAUACCCAGUUAAGUCAGUUGGUGUGAAGAUGAGAAGUACCUGCUUCUGGUAUGUCUAGAUGGGGUUCUUACUCGUUGGUUCAGAGCAUCAUUAUAAAGAACUAAAGAGGCCGCUCCGUGGCUGGCUUAUGUUGUGCCUACGUUUUUACUUUAAUGUAUCCAGUGGUGCAGACAUGGAGCAGACAGAAAAUUCUGCUGUAAAAAAUCAAAUUUUUAAGAUAAAUGAUAUACCCAAUUCCAAAAAUCCAUGGGUUAAAUUUUUUACCUUUUUUUUUUUUUUUGACAGGCAGAGUAGACAGUGAGAGAAAGAGACAGAGAGCAAGGUCUUCCUUUUCCAUUGGUUCACCCUGCAAUGGCCGCCGCGGCCAGCGCACCGCGCUGAUCCGAAGCCAGGAGCUUCUCCUGGUCUCCAAUGCAGGUGCAGGGCCCAAGCACUUGGGCCAUCCUCCACUGCUUUCCCGGGCCAUAGCAGAGAGCUGGCCUGGAAGAGAACCGGGACAGAAUCCAGCGCCCCAACCGGGACUAGAACCUGGUGUGCCGGUGCCACAGGCGGAGGAUCAGCCAAGCGAGCCGCAGCACCAACCUAAAUUUACUUUGAUUCAGCCAACUAGUUUCAUUUUACCAAACAAGACAUAUAUUGGUUAAAACAUAAAAUUACUGCUACUGGGAUUCUUACUUUUUGGGAUAUUCCUUUUUAUUUUUUCUAAGAGGGAUCAGGUUACUCCCAGUUUGCCAGUGUGUAUCAGUUACAUUGGAAUUGAACUUGAUGGAAUACCUAAGAAAUUUCUAACUGUAUUUUGGGAGCUAUAUCCGUGAUCCAAGACAGCUAUUCUUUAUACCUAUUUCAACCUUUUAACUAUUAAAUAAACUACAAAUACCAUUGUAUCUAUUGAAGGAAAGCAAUUAUGAAAACAUUACUAAUCAAUAUUCUCUGUACUAAGAAAUAAGAUUUUUUAUUCAAUAGUGGAUGCACAUGUUAGCAGCUCUCUCCAGAAAAACAGCUAUUUUUCAUCUCAUAUCAUCUGUUAAACACAUUUCAGCCUAUUGUAGCAGUUUUUGCACUUCUUAAGGGUUCAAUGAUGCAAGUUUUGCUGUUUCCAACAGAUGAACCAUUCUUGGGCCAGUGGGACAAAAUAAGUUGUUAGCAAAGCCCUCAACAGAGAGCCCUAUGUAAAAAGCCUUUGCCUCUGCAUGAGAUGAGAUGUUGGACCUCAUCUUGACCUAACAUCUUUAACCAGGUAAGUAUGUGGGCAGAAAUAUUUUUUGUACACUGUCAACAAAAAUGGGUAAAAUCCGUAAUAGCUGAAAUCACCAGAUAGAAUUAUAGGACUUAAAAGGUACUCUGGUACGUAUGUUCAAAGUCCCAAACUUCAGUCAUUUGUGUUGGGUCAUGUAUAAUUUACUCUUUAAAAUGCAAUCUAAUGAUCAAAAGCACAAAAGAGGUGUUGUGUAUUCACAUACACACACACAUUUUGAUGGCUAGUUAUAAGUUAUCUAUUUGUUUGACUGUAGGCAUUAUUCCUGUAAAACUUCUUGGUAGUUAUAAGACUUUUUCUUGUAAGUUCUUGGGUUGUUAUCUGUCAAUCAGCCUAUGACAAAAAAACUUAUUGAAAUGAAGUUUAAGGUGGAAGAGAAGGCAACGUGCUUUAAGUAGAGUGCGUACAUCAAGCCAGACUACGCAGGCAAACAGGUGAC